GCCGGGUAUGGUGGGGUGCGUGCCUGUAAUCCUGGCUACUUGGGAGGCUGAGGCAGGAGGAUCACCUGAGCCUGGGAGUUCGAGGCUGCAGUGGGCUAUGAUCAGGCCACUGCACUCAGCCUGGGCAACAGAGUGAGACCCUGUCUCAA
ensembl:misc_RNA Metazoa_SRP Metazoan signal recognition particle RNA